CGCCCUUAGAGUUUGAUCCUGGCUCAGGACGAACGCUGGCGGCGUGCCUAAUACAUGCAAGUCGAACGCAGCUUGCUUUGGUAAGAUGAGUGGCGAACGGGUGAGUAACACGUGGGUAACCUGCCUAUCAGAGGGGGAUAACACUUGGAAACAGGUGCUAAUACCGCAUAGAUUUCUUUCGCAUGAAAAGAGAGGAAAGACGUACGUGUCACUGAUAGAUGGACCCGCGGUGCAUUAGCUAGUUGGUGAGGUAACGGCUCACCAAGGCCAUGAUGCAUAGCCGACCUGAGAGGGUGAUCGGCCACACUGGGACUGAGACACGGCCCAGACUCCUACGGGAGGCAGCAGUAGGGAAUCUUCGGCAAUGGACGAAAGUCUGACCGAGCAACGCCGCGUGAGUGAAGAAGGUUUUCGGAUCGUAAAACUCUGUUGUUAGAGAAGAAUAGGUAGGAGUGACUUCCUGCCAUGACGGUAUCUAACCAGAGAGCCACGGCUAACUACGUGCCAGCAGCCGCGGUAAUACGUAGUGGCAAGCGUUGUCCGGAUUUAUGGGCGUAAAGCGAGC
rnacentral:rRNA from 1 species